rnacentral:rRNA from 1 species
CCUACGGGAGGCAGCAGUGAGGAAUAUUGGUCAAUGGGCGCGAGCCUGAACCAGCCAAGUAGCGUGAAGGAUGAAUGCCCUACGGGUUGUAAACUUCUUUUAUAAAGGAAUAAAGUGAGGCACGUGUGCCUUGUUGUAUGUACUUUAUGAAUAAGGACCGGCGAAAUCCGUGCCAGCAGCCGCGGUAAGACGGGGGGUCCGAGGGUUAUCCGGAUUUAUUGGGUUUAAAGGGAGCGUAGAUGGGUUGUUAAGUCAGUUGGGAAAGUUUGCGGCUCAACCGUAAAAGUGCAAUUGAUACUGGCAGGCUUGAGUACAGUUGAGGUAGGCGGAAUUCGUGGUGUAGCGGUGAAAUGCUUAGAUAUCACGAAGAACUCCGAUUGCGAAGGCAGCUUACUAAACUGCCACUGACAUUGAUGCUCGAAAGUGUGGGUAUCAAACAGGAUUAGAUACCCGUGUAGUC